GGAGGGCUGGCUGAGUGGCCGAAGGCGCUGGUCUUGAAAACCAGAGGGGCGGUGAACCCGUCCUCGCGGGUUCGAAUCCCGCGCCCUCCGCCA
rnacentral:tRNA from 1 species